UACGUAGGGACCAAGCGUUGUUCGGAUUUACUGGGCGUAAAGGGCGCGUAGGCGGCGUGGUAAGUCACUUGUGAAAUCUCUGAGCUUAACUCAGAACGGUCAAGUGAUACUGCUGUGCUAGAGUGCGGAAGGGGCAAUCGGAAUUCUUGGUGUAGCGGUGAAAUGCGUAGAUAUCGGAAGGAACAUCAGUGGCGAAAGCGGCUUCCUGGUCCAGCACCGACGUUCAGGCACGAAAGCGUGGGGAGCAAACAGG
rnacentral:rRNA from 1 species